ACCUUUUACCUUAUGCUCACGAUCCCCACCAAUAUAACGAUUCAACUUUUCUUUCUCGCUCCCGUGUAUACAUCGUCUCGCCCUGUCCAUCCAUACUCUUCUCCAUCGCUUCGUACGCCUCCUACCACCUGCUUCUCACACCCAUUUAAUCCCCGCUCUUACAUGCCCCUGACAACCUUCUACACCGCCGCCACCGCUGCCGACAACAACCUCAACUUAUCCAUGUUACUCGUUACCUCAUUUUUUAUUUAUUUAAACAAACGGAUCUACUGUUUAUUUUUGCGAGGAUUACGCAGAGAAAAAUACUGCGUCUAAAGAAAAAGAAGAUUUCAGCGACUCUGAUUACUGGCCCCCGAAUGUAUUCUUCAAUUCGGGACUUAAUCAGCGUACCUAGGCAACCAGUGUUGCGAGCGAACGCGAUGCGUCAAUGGCGGAUGAGCGGAAAGGGGAAUGAGGAAAAAGGAGGAGUAAAACGACGCGUUUGUUGGCGCGAACGAGUACAUAAUUGCUAUCAAUUAAUUGUAUAAUGAAUCGCGCUGUCCUUGCUCCGGACACGACGAGAUUACGGAUUACCAGAACCUUGACCCUUUAAUUGGAAGAUUCGUGAUUGUGUAAAUAUUACGCAACAUCGUCGCCCGUGGUAUUUACCUCUAUAGCCUUCGACAAGGGCCAACUCGUUGUUGGACAAACACCAACCGGACUUCGUCUAACACGACUUUUCCAUCGUCCGGUAAUUCAUUCUCGCGACCGAAUUUCUGAUAGAAAGGAAAAUAAACGAAUGCCAACACUUGUA